GCCUAAAAGCAAUCAGGUUGGAAGCAGAGACAGGCCAACAGCACUCAGUUUGUUGGGGACCAUGAUUUGGAGAUCUUGCACUCCCGUGGUGGCCUCAGUGUUGCUUGCUUGACCAAUCUUUAUAGUGCAGAGGCUGAUGCUCCCCACAUCAUCACUGACAUCAACAGAAUAUCAGAGGCAGCAGCAAGAAGGGAAGUCAGCGGCUGAGGAAAUCACAGCAUGGGCCUGAAGGCUAUACCACUUCUAAAGGUUUCAUCUGAAUGGCAAUGCUACCUUCGUUGUAUCAACUUUUCCUAUGUUUUUUUUGUCAAUCUGAUGCUAACAAUGGAUUCUUCUAUUCAAGCAGCAUCGUGUCUGUACUCACUAAAUGAUUAUUAAUUGAGAUUGUCUGUGACUAUACUGUACAGUUGAACUGACUGAAGACACAAACUAAAAACAAGGUGGGAUUAAUAAACCUAGAGUUUAAAUCCAAUUUAUUACCAUGGCCAUUCUGUAUUUUCAUGAAGCUUUCAAGUCUAGUUUUCAGAAGGAAAACCAUCUCUGUGUCAAAAUAUCUUCCAAUUAUGGUGCAUCAAGUCCUCAGAACUAGCAUCAUUUUUCAGUGGAGUCUGGGAGACAUUGAAGUGUUGGCUGUAAGUAACGAGUACAUCAAUGCCUCUUUCUAAAUAUCAUGAAACUUUGCAAGGUUUUCUGACUUAAGACUAUCUCCUUGCUUGCCUUUAAGUGGUCAUUUCUGAUAUGAGUGGCUGUCAUGCUUUUAUGAUUUUUGUUAUUGGUACUCUGUGACAUCAUGUAGUGCACUGGGAGUUAAAGAAUUAAUGGUCCAGUUCUGUGAACUGCCAAUAUUUCUGGGCACCUGGCUCUCAGAAGAGAACUUCAUCUCCUAGAGGACUUUUUGUUUCCGUUUUCCAUUCAGAGGGAAGGAUAAAACUGCUUGCAAGUCAUGAGACGUCCCUUUUUUUCCCUUCUGCUCAUCUACAGUGCGUUCUCCCUAGCUGUCUUGCCUUCAGCA